UACGUAGGGGGCUAGCGUUGUCCGGAAUCAUUGGGCGUAAAGCGCGUGUAGGCGGUUCGGUAAGUCCGCUGUGAAAGUCGGGGGCUCAACCCUCGAAUGCCGGUGGAUACUGUCGGACUAGAGUACGGAAGAGGCGAGUGGAAUUCCUGGUGUAGCGGUGAAAUGCGCAGAUAUCAGGAGGAACACCAAUGGCGAAGGCAGCUCGCUGGGACGUGACUGACGCUGAGACGCGAAAGCGUGGGGAGCAAACAGG
rnacentral:rRNA from 1 species